rnacentral:rRNA from 1 species
CGCACCAGCGGUGGAGCAUGUGGUUUAAUUCGAAGCAACGCGAAGAACCUUACCAGGUCUUGACAUCCUUUGACCACUCUAGAGAUAGAGCUUUCCCUUCGGGGACAAAGUGACAGGUGGUGCAUGGUUGUCGUCAGCUCGUGUCGUGAGAUGUUGGGUUAAGUCCCGCAACGAGCGCAACCCUUAUUGUUAGUUGCCAUCAUUAAGUUGGGCACUCUAGCGAGACUGCCGGUGACAAACCGGAGGAAGGUGGGGAUGACGUCAAAUCAUCAUGCCCCUUAUGACCUGGGCUACACACGUGCUACAAUGGACAGUACAAUGAGCAGCGACACGGCGACGUGAAGCGAAUCUCAUAAAGCUGUUCUCAGUUCGGAUUGUAGGCUGCAACUCGCCUACAUGAAGCCGGAAUCGCUAGUAAUCGCGGAUCAGCACGCCGCGGUGAAUACGUUCCCGGGCCUUGUACACACCGCCCGUCACACCACGAAAGUUUGUAACACCCGAAGUCGGUGAGGUAACCGCAAGGAGCCAACCGCCUAAGGUGGGAUAGAUGAUUGGGGUGAAGUCGUAACAAGGUAACCAAGGGCGAAUUCCAG